rnacentral:rRNA from 1 species
GUGCCAGCAGCCCGCGGUAAUACGGAGGGUCCGAGCGUUAAUCGGAAUUACUGGGCGUAAAGCGUGCGCAGGCGGUUUGUUAAGCCAAGAUGUGAAAUCCCCGGGCUCAACCUGGGAAUUGCAUUUGGAACUGGCGAACUAGAGUCUUGUAGAGGGGGGUAGAAUUCCAGGUGUAGCGGUGAAAUGCGUAGAUAUCUGGAGGAAUACCGGUGGCGAAGGCGGCCCCCUGGACAAAGACUGACGCUCAUGCACGAAAGCGUGGGGAGCAAACAGGAUUAGAUACCCUGGUAGUCC